rnacentral:rRNA from 1 species
GACGGGGGGGGGCAAGUGUUCUUCGGAAUGACUGGGCGUAAAGGGCACGUAGGCGGUGAAUCGGGUUGAAAGUGAAAGUCGCCAAAAAGUGGCGGAAUGCUCUCGAAAACCAAUUCACUUGAGUGAGACAGAGGAGAGUGGAAUUUCGAUGUGUAGGGGUGAAAUCCGUAAAUAUACGAAGGAACGCCAAAAGCGAAGGCA